GGAAGAGGAGGAUCAUCAGUAGGAAAGGAGAGGCAGCGCUGCGGCAGAUAGUGGUGGUAUCAGCACGGUGCCGAGCUAGACGACGAGGGCUCGCGUCGAUGGAACAGGAGCUGGGGCUCGAGGAAGAAGCGGCUGCUGGCUUCGGUGGCUGGUCCCGGGGCAGCGGGGACGGAAGAAAAGGGCAGUAGAGGGAGAAGGGAAGAAACAAAGAGGGCAAAUGAGAGUAGAAGGAGAUAGAGAGAACGAGAGACAAUGUCCCUUCGGCGGUACCUGCGGACUCCAGGAGUCGAGGCUGGGUGCGGGGCCGCCGGGACGGCUGCAGCAGCGGAUCCUUCUGAUGGUACGGGCAACGUCCUCGAAGCUCGGCUGGGGCGUCGUACUUCUGGCGGCUGCGGGCAAGCAGUAGCCCUUAGCGG
rnacentral:rRNA from 1 species